rnacentral:rRNA from 1 species
CUUUCCCCGCUGAUCUAGUAUCAUGCGCUGCAAAUGGACGAAACAGAAUACUUUACUGAAGCUAUGAGAUUUAUAUUUAAAUCGAUAGAGGAGCGUUCUAUAUUUAGGAAGCAAAAAUGGAAAUUUUUGUGGAGAUAAUACAAGUGAGAAUGUCAGCUUAAGUAGCAUAAAUAUUAGUAAAAUCUGAUACUCCCAAAGCUAAAAGGUCUCCUACGAAAGGAUAUACCACGUCGGGAAAGUCGGGGCCUCAGGUUAGAUUUAAUAUCUACCUGACGGGUCCAAGGUUCACAUCCCUAUACCACUUAUAUAAAUCUCAACCAAUAGUGACCCAUCCUCUGUCACUAUCUGUCUUAGCCAUACUAGUUACCUAGUCUGCUCAAACAAUUUUGCUGGGACAACUGUCUCCGUUAUAACCUACCCCCUGCCCGUACCCCAACUGACACAAGUAUGCCAGUUUUCAUCUACUNAGCGAGGAGCACGAAAAAACUUUCUCUAAGGAACUCGGCCAAAUAAUCCUGUAACUUCGGGGAAAAGGAUGCCCAAAGGGGUGCAAUUAAAAGAUCCAAGCGACUGUUUAUCAAAAACACAGGUUUCCGCUAAGUUUAAUCACAAUAUAAGGGGGCUGACACCUGCCCAGUGCUGGCAAGUUAAAAAAAAUGCUUUUAAUAUAGGUAUUUUUAUAAGCUCCAGUAAACGGCGGCUGUAACUAUAACGGUCCAAAGGUAGCGAAAUUCCUUGUCGGGUAAGUUCCGACCUGCACGAAAGGUGUAACGACUUGGAUGCUGUCUUUGAGAAAGAUUCGGUGAAAUAGAAAUGUCUGUGAAGAUACGGACUAUCUACACCGGACAGAAAGACCCUAUGAAGCUUUACUAUAUUUUGAAAUUAAAACUGAGAUAUAUUUGUGUAGAAUAAGAGGGAAACUAAUUAGUUUAUCUUGAAACACCAGUGUGAUAUAUAUCAUUUUUGUAACAUCAUGUUGAUAACCAAUUAUAAGAAAAUUUUGACAAAGUAUUUUCACUGGUGCCGUAGCCUCUCUAAAGAGUAACGGAGGUUCACCCAGGUCUUUUUUUAAUUUAAAAAUUUCUUUUAAAUUAAAACUAUAAAGGGAGGAAAAGGCUUGAUUGCAAGAGUUACUACUCGAGCAAGGACGAAAGUCGGUCUUAAUGAUCCCGACAUUGCUUUGGGAAAGCUGUA